ACAAACACACUUCAAGGGCCUGCACACAAAAAAUGCUUUAGAGCAAACACCGCAGCAACAGAGUCGCAACACACACCAUACUAACUGGAGUUGCCAGAACUGUUAACAAUCCAUCUACAGUUGAUCCCCUCCGCGAACUAGGCCUAACCAAAGACAAAGCCCACACAACUGCAACCAAACUCUACUAUGAUGCUGUCAAGACCUCAACAGAAUUUAAGAGCACUAAACAUGCCAUUCAACUUAGCAUUCCAAGCAGUGGGGGCUUGUGGUGGGGAUCUACUGGGUGGGUUGCUUAAAGGAGAGCAGUGUCUAGUGUAGGCUUUGAGGGCCUUCUGGUGAGGCCACUGCUUCCUUGCUAACUUGUUAGUUAGUGGACCUUCCCUUAGUGCACGCGGCCUCUGGCUUGCGUAGACUUUCCUUUUCUUUUUCUUUAGAGCACUUUUCACUGCCUACCUCCACCUCUGUUACGACUUCUGCACCAUACCUCGCAAAAAACUUGGUUACAGUGCCCCCCAAUCCUGCCCUAACCGGCAUGUGGUGACUAGUUUGUGGUGAACACCAAUUAAGGUGACAUGUAGAGACUCUGUUAUCCCUAUUUGGACUUUUUGAGCUGCGCAAUUGAAGUCUGGUUACAGUGUGAGAAUGUUAAGUUGCUGCACGUUCCAAAGUGAUGAAGGUGUUGGUGUCGGUACUGAAUUCUAAUUCAACAAGGUGGAUUUUCUUGUCAUGAUCAGGGAUCUUAGAGGGAUCAUGGUGGACAGGUCGGCCUGGGAUAGAGCGCAUAAAGAUAGCAUCCGGGCGGCUUUGGUGGGGAGCUUGGGAGCCAGUACCAUUAGGGAACACCCAAUCAUGAAUGCCACGUGCACGUGCUACGUUUUCAGGGACUUUCAUUCCCUGUUCCUGGAAUACCGCAGCAAUACAUGCUAAUCAUGGAUGAGCCAUACCAGCCUUUACAAAGAGAGCCCGUUUUCUGGUCAUAUUCCCUUACACAGACUGUUAUUGGUUUUAGCAGAGAACCUGCACGAUAGCUUCAGGUCGCUUCCCUCUCAUGUUUGGCUGCUUAUCCCUAUGUCCCCAAUGAUAAAUUCUCAGGUUUGUUUGGCUGACUGCCUCUGUGCUCUAACAGCCAUGCUGAAGCUGAGGCUCACAGGUUAUCAGAACUUGAAGGCAAUGCACAACUUUUUGUUUGAGGGUUUUCAGGACUCUGUGGCUUGCCAAGGGGGCGGCAGUCCCUUUUGGCAUGUCCUCUGUCACAUGACCACCCAUUUAUUGCGGAAAGUAAUGACGGAAACUUAGCAGCGAAGUUCCCCGGUUGAACGUUUGGAGUGUGGUUUUAAAACUUGCUUCCUGCGUGAUUGCGCUCACACAACGAAUCUUGCCUUUACAAUUUCCAAGGAGCCUUUCAGAAACUUUGCUGACCAUCUUUUUGUGUGUCUUCCUGUGCCUUCAGCCCUCUUCUAAUGGGACGUUGCUAUGUCCCUAUAAUGAACAAGUGUCAAACAAACAAACAAACAAACAAACAAACAAACAAACAAACAAACAAACAAACAAACAAACAAACAAACAAACAAACAAACAAACAAACAAACAAGCAAGCAGACAAGCAAGCAAGCAAACAAACAAACAAGCAAACAAACAAACAAACAAACAAACAAACAAACAAACAAACAAACAAACAAACAAACAAACAAACAAACAAACAAACAAACAAACAAACAAACAAANAAACAAACAAACAAACAAACAAACAAACAAACAAACAAACAAACAAACAAACAAACAAACAAACAAACAAACAAACAAACAAACAAACAAACAAAUU
rnacentral:lncRNA from 1 species